GGGCUUGUAGCUCAGCAGGUGAGAGCGCACGCCUGAUAAGCGUGAGGUCGGUGGUUCGAGUCCACCCAGGCCCA
rnacentral:tRNA from 1 species